rnacentral:rRNA from 1 species
CGGAGUGGCGAACGGGUGAGUAAUAUAUCGGAACGUACCGAGUAAUGGGGGAUAACUAAUCGAAAGAUUAGCUAAUACCGCAUAUUCUCUGAGGGGGAAAGCAGGGGACCUUCGGGCCUUGCGUUAUUCGAGCGGCCGAUAUCUGAUUAGCUAGUUGGUGGGGUAAAGGCCUACCAAGGCGACGAUCAGUAGCGGGUCUGAGAGGAUGAUCCGCCACACUGGGACUGAGACACGGCCCAG